AAUUAUUGACCCAAAUCCUUCACCCCUCACUGUACUAUUGGCCUUUGUUUUAUAACUUUGCAGUUACUCUUGCUAGACGUGGAAUGUACUUCCCUAUCCUUUGACCUUGUUUAUACUCAGCGUGUGACUUGAUUACACCAAUGGACUUUACUGCCCCUUCAACCUGGGCUUCAAAAGGUGAACACGUACAGCAGAUGUGAGAGCAACCACCAGCAAGGAACAAAACCUGCACUCAGCAGAACCCAGCCUAGAUCCGCUGACCAGCCAACCAACAUAGAGAUACAUUCAUGAGAAUAAAUAAUUGCUGUGCACAGAGGAAAGGCCAUAUGAUCACACAGAGGGAAGGUGGCCGUCCACAAGCCAAGAGAAGAGGGCUCAAAAUGAAACCAAUCCACCUGGAGCCUGGAUCUGGGGCUUUU
rnacentral:lncRNA from 1 species